UUCCCUUUCCCAAAAUAUUCCAUAGUCUGAGAAAAUGUGGAUAUAUCUUCAGUAUAUCCCUUCUUAUUAUUUCAAAUAUAACUAUUUUAAAUGUUAAGUAAUUAAGAUUAUGUUGUAAUAAUAAUAUAUUUAUUUGAGUUUUCCAAAUUUUUUUUCAGGUUAUAUUAUAUACUGGAUUUUUCUUCAUACCCACAGCCUUCUACAUGGAAGGUGGUCUUUUGGACCAAUAGGUUCUCUGAUUAAUGUGCUUGAUGACUGAUCAGGUAAUUUGGAAGAAUUUUGGAUAGAAAGCCAGAUGUAUGUUGAUAAUAUCAGUGCUAGGAUAGUAUUGGUUUUGUCAAUGUUUGUCAUUCUAUGCAAUUCUUUUUCUAAAUUAUUUUCUGGUCUCUGUUUUCAAGCAAAUUGAUUGAAGUACCGAUUGGCCCAAAAGAACCGCCCUCCAUGUCGAGGUCUGCAGAACUAUGGAAUUUUUAUGGAAUAUAAAGAAAUGCCUAAUUUGAUGAGGUACAUGUGGUUAGAAAGUUCCCUUUCCCAAAAUAUUCCAUAGUCUGAGAAAAUGUGGAUAUAUCUUCAGUAUAUCCCUUCUUAUUAUUUCAAAUAUAACUAUUUUAAAUGUUAUAUUAUAUACUGGAUUUUUCUUCAUACCCACAGCCUUCUACAUGGAAGGUGGUCUUUUGGACCAAUAGGUUCUCUGAUUAAUGUGCUUGAUGACUGAUCAGGUAAUUUGGAAGAAUUUUGGAUAGAAAGCCAGAUGUAUGUUGAUAAUAUCAGUGCUAGGAUAGUAUUGGUUUUGUCAAUGUUUGUCAUUCUAUGCAAUUCUUUUUCUAAAUUAUUUUCUGGUCUCUGUUUUCAAGCAAAUUGAUUGAAGUACCGAUUGGCCCAAAAGAACCGCCCUCCAUGUCGAGGUCUGCAGAACUAUGGAAUUUUUAUGGAAUAUAAAGAAAUGCCUAAUUUGAUGAGGUACAUGUGGUUAGAAAGUUCCCUUUCCCAAAAUAUUCCAUAGUCUGAGAAAAUGUGGAUAUAUCUUCAGUAUAUCCCUUCUUAUUAUUUCAAAUAUAACUAUUUUAAAUGUUAAGUAAUUAAGAU